rnacentral:lncRNA from 1 species
CAGCGUCCGGCCGUCCCAACACCUCCUCCUCCGGCCACUCGCUGAGUAGCGUCGGCGCCUAUUGGGCGGCGUGGGAACGGUGGGCGGGCCGGGACUGGGUCUCGAGGAGGAGGAGGGGUGCGAGGUGCCUGGCUCUGAGGGCCGCCGGGGCUGUGAAGCCUGUCAUUAGCGAUUAGCUCACGUCAGUCACUCACGCAUCCCUGUUUGCCCUGCUGCUGACCUCGCGCGAGGCGGCCACCUUGUGGGAGAUGUUUUCGUGAGGCAACAGACGCUGGCCGUUCCCAGCGUCACGCAGAGUUCGGAUCCACUCUAGCGAGAGACCACAGCGUCCGGGAGCAGCUUGUGAAACUCUGGCGAGCGUCAGCCUUGAAAAUAAAAAGUAUUGGCAGCCGUCGACGAGCACAGGUUCCUAAAACUUAGAUCGAAGAGAAGUACCAGCCUUCAAAAAUAAACCAGCACCAAAAGCCCCCUGUGCUUAUAGGUGACGUGCGGGCUGGGAGUGCAGUGGUGUCACCUCGCCUUGUAUGUCAUCGCCGGUUGUGUGCCUAACAUACAUACAAAAAGGAUAACUCGAAUUUAGCCAUCACGCAUUUUCAAAAAUACUGCUUGGAAAUUGAAUGUUUGGAGAAAAGAUAUAAUCUGGGGUUUCUACACGGUCUGAAUUGGGUUCAUUUCCGUUUAGCAAACAUUUAUUGAGCUCCCAGCGUGGGUCACAGAAUUCAGUAAACCUGAUCCCGUGUUCAAGGUGCUAUAUUCCGAUGCAGGGCAGGGCGAUGCAGUGAAAGAAUGGUGGCCACAGCAGUAGCAUGCUAAUAGCCUGGUGGGCAGGUACAGGUUUUGCAUUUCUUUGGCGAGAUCACUUUUGAGUGUCUCCACUGGGUGGCAGAAUUAAGACCCGUGAACGUUUAAUAUCUCCUGUAUAUUUAGUAUAUUAUGAAUAUAUACUGAUUAAUGAAUAUUAAGUGCGUGUUGUAUAUCUUGUGCCUCAUGAAUAUUAAAUAUGACCUGGUCUUGCCAGCCUUUUCUAUUUUUACAUAUACGUGCUCCACCGACUGUUUUGCAGGCUAGGAACACGUGAGUUUUGUUCUCCUAUUUCUUCUAGGGCAGCAUUGAAUAUUCUCAAAGACAGUUCUGGGCUUCAGAGCUGGUAUAGUGCCCAUGGUGGUGAUCACAGUGCGGUCAAGCUUCUUAGGACCUCUUUCAUUACUUUUAUCCAGGUAGAGUUUGUAGAACUAUGGAAAUACCCAAGCACGAUUUUCUCUUACCUGGGACACUGUUGGCCAAGAUCUUUAGAUUCUUCUUAGAAAAUGUGGAAAAGCAGGCAAAAAUUUUUCCAAACCAAGUGGAAUUUUUCACAAGACAUUUACUCACAUUUUUUUUUCUCUCUCACUGUAGUUACGUAGCUAAUUUUGGAAAGGCACAUGGAUUUUGAGAAUGUAGACAGUAGUUGUGGUCUAUUAGUCAAUCUUACCUGCUUUCUAUAAGGAUGAAAAAUUAUUUCAUGGUAGUGUCGUAGUUUCUUAAUGGAGGAUUGUUCCAAGGAUCUCUCUUAAGUGUGCAAGAACAAGUCUAUUUGUACGUUUGGUUUUUUGUAAUAUUAUCCCUAUUAUGUACUACCUUAUUCCUUUAUAAGAACUUAAAGUCAUGGUCUCUGGCAUACAUAAUCAUCGCACCAGUAGUUCUCAAUCUUCACUUUGCAUCAGAGCCAUCUAGGGAGCUUCAGAAAAAUAUCCUUGCUUAGGUCCCACUCCCAGAAAUCCUGUCUUAAUUGUUUCAAUGUUGGACCUAAGCAUUCCUGUGUUUAACUCUUCCCAGUUGAUCCAAGGUGCUCAGUCAGAAACACUGUGUUACAUAUGGGGCAAUAUAUUUAAACAAUGUGGUAUGUGAUUGCUUGGUGAUAAAACAAUAGAUCGCAUCUGGGAAAAAACGUUCUCUGUAAUUCCUCUGGUGUUUUUGUCAGAGAAUCUGGUGAUGUUGAACUUCCUGUUCAACAGACUGGUGGGAGGAAACACAGGGUAAGC